rnacentral:lncRNA from 1 species
AUGGGUUCCUGUGAGGUGUCAAUGGGUUCCAUUGGGGUUCUAAUGGUUUCCAAUGGGUGCCAAUGGGUUCCUGUGGGUUCUACUGGGGUGCCAAUGGAUUCCAAUGGGUGCCAAUGGAUUCCAAUGGGUUCCAAUGGGUUCCACGGGGGUGCCAAUGGGUUCCAAUGGGUGCCAGUCGAUUCCAAUGGGUUCCACUGGGGUGCCACUGGGUUCCAAUGGAUGCCAAUGGAUUCCAGUGGGUGCCAAUGGGGUGCCAAUGGAUUCCAAUGGGUGCCACUGGGUUCCAAUGGGUGCCACUGGGUUCCAAUGGGUUCCACUGGAGUGACAAUGGGUUCCAAUGGGUGCCAAUGGAUCCCAAUGGGUUCCAAUGGGUUCCACUGGGGUGCCAAUGCGUUCCACUGGGGUGCCAAUGGGUGCCAAUGGGUUCCACUGGGUUCCGAUGGGUUCCAAUGGGUGCCAAUGGGUUCCAAUGGGGUGCUAAUGAGUUCCAAUGGGUGCCAAUGGGUUCCAAUGGGUGCCAAUGGGUUCCAAUGGGUGCCAAUGGAUUCCAAUGGGUUCCAGUGGAUUCCUAAUGGGGUUCCAAUGGGUUCCAAUGGGGUGCCAAUGGGUUCCAAUGGGGUGACACUGGGGUGCCAAUGGGUUUCAAUGAGUGCCAAUGGAUUCCAAUGGGUGCCAAUGGGUGCCAAUGUGUGCCCAUGGGGUGGCACUGGGUGCCAGUGGGUUCCAAUGUGUUCCAGUGGAUUCCUAAUGGGGUUCCACUGGGGUGCCAAUGGGUUCCAAUGGGUGCCUAUGGAUUCCAAUGGGUGCCAAUGGGUUCCAAUGGGUGCCAAUGGGUUCCAAUGGGGUGACACUGGGGUGCCAAUAGGUUUCAAUGAGUGCC